AUUGAACGCUGGCGGCAGGCCUAACACAUGCAAGUCGAGCGAGCGGCGGACGGGUGAGUAAUGUCUGGGAAACUGCCUGCUGGAGGGGGAUAACUACUGGAAACGGUUGCUAAUACCGCAUACCAUCAGAUGUGCCCAGAUGGGAUCAGCUUGUUGGUGGGGUAACGGCUCACCUAGGCGACGAUCCCUAGCUGGUCUGAGAGGAUGACGAGCAACACUGGAACUGAGACCCGGCCCAGACGCCUACGGGAGGCGGAAGUGGGGAAUAUUGCACAAGGGGGGAAAGCCUGCUGCGGCAAUGCCGGGGGUGUGAAGAAGGCCUUCGGGUUGUAAAGCACGUUCAGCGGGGAGGCGUUACCCGCAGAAGAAGCACCGGCUAACUCCGUGCCAGCAGCCGCGGUAAUAC
rnacentral:rRNA from 1 species